rnacentral:tRNA from 2 species
AUCUGAAUAGCUUAAGUUUAAAGCAUAAUAUUGAAGAUAUUAAUAUAAGUGAAUACUUUUUGGAUA